rnacentral:rRNA from 1 species
GCUCUUUUGACGAGUCGAGUUGUUUGGGAAUGCAGCUCUAAACGGGAGGUAUAUUCCUCCCAAGGCUAAAUACCGGCCGGAGACCCAUAGCGCACAAGUAGAGUGAUAGAAAGAUGAAAAGCACUUUGGAAAAAGAGUUAAAAAGUACGUGAAAUUGUUGAAAGGGAAGCGUAGGCGGCCAGACCCGGUGGCGGUUGCUCAGCCGGUCCCCCCGGGGGCCGGCGCAUUCUUCCGCCACCUGGCCAGCAUCGGUUGGGGUGCCCGGACAAAGGCCCUGGGAACGUGGCCCCCCUCGCGGGGGUGUUAUAGCCCGGGGCAUAACGCGGCCCGCCCGGACCGAGGACAGCGUUCGCUAGGAUGCUGGAGUAAUGGCAGCCGACGGCCCGUCUUGAAACACGCACCAAGGAGUACAGCACACGUGGGAGUGUCCGGGUGCCAAACCCUCACGCGCAAUGAAAGUGAACGGAGGUGGGAGCCCCCGGAGCACCAUCGACCGGUCCCGAUGUCUUCGGAAGGAUCUGAGUAAGAGCACGCGUGUUGGGACCCGAAAGAUGAUGAACUAUGCCCGGAUAGGGUGAAGCCAGAGGAAACUCCGGUGGAGGCUCGCAGCGGUUCUGACGUGCAAAUCGAU